GUNNUCGUGCACUUNNCCCCAAGUAGAACGUCGCGACCCGCUGGGUGUCNGUNUACGNNCCGGGUUCCGUUNNUGUUGGGUUGCCGGUAAAACGGCACGCGACAAACCCCCGGUCGCCCGGCCGGCUGCUCGGCGGUACGCGCAAGGUAUCAGGCCGCACUGUUUACGGUGCGUCGAGGCCGUCGCAAGCGCGCGCCACGGUACUCGGAGGUUACGGACUUUGCGCCGUCCCCGGUCCUGGCCCGCUGUUGGUUAAAGUACGGCUCACCUUCGACAGGCCUGUCGAACGUC
rnacentral:rRNA from 1 species